GUAGGUGAACCUGCGGAAGGAUCAUUAAUGAAUUUUUCUAGCGAACCGGGUCUCGGCUCGGCUUCGCGAAAGAUUUUUGUAUUUAAAACUUUUCCACUCGUGAAAAAAAAAACAUAAAAUGUAAAAUAAAAAAGAUCACUUUCAACAACGGAUCUCUUGGCUCUCGCAUCGAUGAAGAACGCAGCAUCUGACUGACUGCACUCGU
rnacentral:misc_RNA from 1 species